rnacentral:rRNA from 1 species
AUUGAACGCUGGCGGCAGGCCUAACACAUGCAAGUCGAACGAGUGGCGGACGGGUGAGUAAGGGCUGGGAAACUGCCCGAUGGAGCGGGAUAACUACGGGAAACGGUAGAUAAUACUGCAGACCAUCGGAUGUGCCCAGAUGGGUUUAGCUAGUGGGUGGGGUAACGGCUCACCUAGGCGACGAUCCCUAGCUGGUCUGAGAGGAUGACCAGCCACACUGGCACUGAGACACGGUCCAGACUCCUACGGGAGGCAGCAGUGGGGAAUAUUGCACAAUGGGCGCAAGCCUGAUGCGUCCAUGCCGCGUGUAUGAAGAAGGCCUUCGGGUUGUAAAGUACUUUCGGCGAGGAGGCGUUACUCGCCGAAGAAGCACCGGCUAACUCCGUGCCAGCAGCCGCGGUAAUUC